GGCUCUUAGGGAACUUAAGACACAUGGAAGAAAGUGCUUAGAAGGCUAUUGAAAUAUUUACAAAACAAAUCAUUUACAUUAACUUUCUUAUGUGUAGAACCUGGAGUGCCCGUGAAAAAACAGAACCAAUUUUGGCUAUGAGAAGUAUUUCAGCAUCAAAAUGGUUAAUAGUAUUAUAGCUUCAAAAGAGCCUAUUGGCUCACCCUCAAGGAUGCCCUGCAGUUGUUGUUAAAGUCAUCAGAUGAAGCUAGCCUUCUCAGCUAGCCUUUAGAUUUGUCUGCUAACAGUAAAAAUACUAUAAUAAAUCGGUAACAUAUGUUGCCAGGCAAGGAAAAGUGAUAUAAAUAAAGAGACUGGGAGACCCAAACCAAGUACAAUGUGAAAAGAAUUUAACUUUCAAUCUAUUUGCUGGCUAAUUACCAUUUGAAAAGUAAUUUGAAAGUGUUACUGUUAUUUGCUGAUAUUCUUCCUCAUUUUUCUUCUUUUCCUCUUCAGAUUGCAUUCUUACCCAAAUACUCUUCGUGAUUGCCUGCUUUGCGGCUUUGGGGUAAGUCCCAGUUUUCCACAACCUUAAGAAAAAAAAUGCAUAACAUAAAAGAUGCCAGAAAGACUUAUGUGUCCUGAUAUUCGGGGUCUGUGAAAUAUACAUGGGUUUGUUACCGGGGGUGGGAGGCAUAAUGAAAUAAAGACAAGGGGUUUGUUUCCGCAAGGAUCAAAAGUGUGCGAAAGUGUGCAUAUGCAAACGAGGCUCCCAUCAGGAAAGCCACCUCUGGAAUGGAAAUGACAAAGCUUGGAACACACACAAUCAAUUAUUUUCACCAGCAUUUAAAAUAUAGAAAACAAAAUCUGCUUUGGGAAUUGACUGAAUAUUUUAUUUAGCUUUUUUAUUGAGACAUCCUUUGAAUAAUGGCAUAAUAUAAAUAGUUUUACAAAGCAACAAUAUAAUCAAUCUCUAAACUAGAAUAUAAAUCAAGGAUUUCAUUAACUGCUGGUAGCCAGUUUAAAUUGUAGUCUUGUCCAUAAUGUCUAUCUAUCUAUGUAUGUCCAAGUUAUAUUAAAAACCUUUAAAUGGCUUUGUAAUAUCAGCUACAUCUAGCUAUUAUAAUAAUUAAUGGUACUGUUUUAUAAAUCAAUACAUGUAUUCUUGAUAAAUUCAUAUCCAGUUAAUGGUGUAAUUUAAAUAAAAAAUUAAUGUAAUAAAGGACAUACAGAAAUGGGCAGGAAAUCUUUAAAGGUUAAGAGUCAAAUUUGUCUAAAUUCAUUCUUAACCUGUUUUGGAAAAGUUUAUAUUUAAAAUCAGCUGACACUUACCUUGUUUCUGUAAAACUAAUCUUGCCAUUUCUGGUGGUAUCUAGUAUUAAAUUUGUAAGAUGUUUUUUGACGUUGUUUUAAUUACAUAGUUACAAUACUGUGGAAUAUUUUACUGUCGUUGUACUACUUUGUGACUAUUGCAUAUUCUUCAGUAAAACAGAACAAAACAAACUAAAAACCUCAUACCAGUAAUUUAUUUUUAAUUCACAAAUGCAUGUAAAUGAUUUAUUUUUUGAAAAUCUCCAAAGCUAUAUACACAUUUUAUUUAAGGGGAAGAAGGACUGACUAGUUCAAAUAAUUUGCAUGUGGAAGAGCCGAGCAUUUUCACUGCUUUCGCUGAGUGAACAUUCCAAGAAUUUUAGAAAGAAAAGAAAAACGCAUGAAAGAGUCUGAAAUGUAUUUUAACGCUGCACCCGGGUACAGGAACAUUCUACCAAAAGAUGAGUGUAUUAUAGUUCUAAUUUAAAGAAUACAUACCAGAGACAUAUUUAAAAAAUAACAAGAUUUAGAAAAACAACCGAAGGUUGUAUGUUAUCAAAUACAAUAUCCAAUCUUUCCAAAUAAAAUUUCAUUUGGUUUCUAAGAGUAAGUGUUUUACAAAAAAUAUCUUUCAAAAUUAUGCAGACCAGUCUGCCCUGCCAUCCUCCUUGACAUGGUGCAGAAAUGUUCCUUUAAUCCACUGAGCUUUUUCUGACAUUUUUCUUAACAUUGCUGAGCCUUAUUUAGAGCACCAAAGGAGGCGUGUGCAGUUUCCUUUGACACUGAUGGGUAUUUCAAAAUGUUACAGAGAGAGGGGGGAUAAAAAAGAAAGAAAAGAUUUGCUGCCAGUCACUUCAUCAAUAGAGCUAGAGAAGCAAUUACUAUUUGUUAAAAGUUUACAUUUCAAAUGAAGCUAAAUUUUAAAGAAGUCUCAUCCUUUUAGAAGGACUGGUGCUUGGAAGAGAGAGGAAGAGAAUGCACAUUAGUGAUUACAUGUUAAAGUGCACUCAAGUACUGGAACCAUUUAAAAUGUAUUGUGUUUUUAGUCGAAACUUGCAGCAAAACCACUCCUAAGAGGCUUAAUUUAGGUUUUAUAGGAGGAACAUAAAAAAGACCAGGUUAUAGCAACAUGCUGAAAUAUGGGGUACAUUUUAAAUAUCUUCAUUUAAAAACGUAUGUUUAUUUCCCCUCCUGGGAUCACUAACGUGCGUCUCCACAGAGAAAGCAAGGACAUGCAUUCUUAAAAAUUAUCUGUUAAAGGGAUCACAUUCCAAGACAGGUUUGGGCAUUUUUAUUACUACAGAUAACCUCUUAAUUAUGUCACUGCCUUCCACUUGUUAAUCAGGGCCAUUCAACAUAGUUAACCAUGGAGUGGUUGCCUUUAGAAGAAUACAUUAUUAUUAAGGAUUAGAAACACAUUUUAUUCCUAUAAUCAUAUUACAUGUAUGGUUUUAGCACUGCUAAAACCCUAUUUACCUGCUUUAAAUACAUAACACCUAAGAAAGGAUCUAGAUGCCUAUAACAAUGUUGUUCAUUACUUCAAACUGUGCAGUUCAUGAAAAGCUUCAAGAGAGAUAAUUUUACUUUUCCUGUCUCCCCGCUCCACCUCCCCCAUGUCCCAUGCAAUUCCUAUUUGGAUUGAUUUUAGGUUUCCUGUGCAGCCACCAGUAUGUGAGAUACUCAGGUACUCUUUCAGAGACCAAGGUGUAAGUGAAGUAAAUAAAAUCAUGUUUCACUGUUGCUUUAUCAACCCUCCUAGGUAGUUUUUCUGCCAGCCAACCUGCACUGUUAAGACCCAUAAAAUUAUGCAAUAGUGACUUCUUUGGAGGUUCUCUAAUCAGAUAAUGGCUGGUGUUAGGAGGCAAGGGCCCAAGGCAAUGUUGCUGGUACUUAACACUGUGGUUGGUCAUUACUUGUCUAGUAGAGACCAAUAAACAGCUGAUUACUAUCCUAUACGGAGCCAAUAUUUUACAUUUAUCCUAGUUAUUUUUUCCUUUUCUUUUCAAGUUCUUAUAAGAGGAAGUAUUUGUCAAGAAGAUCUAUGAGUAGUAGCCUCCCAGGCACCUUAAAAAUAAGAAUUUUCCUACCAUGAAAUGAUGGCUUUUGUGGAAAGGUGGGAAUGAUUCUGGUUUUUACAAGAGCAAAGGUUUGAUUUGUUUCAAGUCCAUUUCUUUCAGACAGGGACACUCCCCCACACCAUCCCUGCUGCUCCCUGUCCCUUUCCCCCUCUAUGACAGGUUCACGGGCUGCAACCAAGGGAUUUUAAAAUGCAAAGGUUUAUAUUAAUAUUUGCACUCUGGCAAUAAGAGGCCCAUUUUGCUUCCUCUGUAAGCCUGUGAUAAUUGAUGCUUCAUACCUGGAACUAUGUUUCAUUUAUCUUUUUACUCAUGAAGAUAGUAUAUAAAGAAAAGGUAAUUUAUGGAAAGGAACCAACCAUUUGAAAUAAUAAUCCUAAAUCCAACUAGAUAAUCUUUUAAAGCUGUAAGAGUCAGAGAUGGAGAUUUCUAAACUUCUAAAGAAAACUUGAUUGCAAAGAAGAAACCUGUGCAUUUUUGAAUGCUUGUUGAAUUUGAAUGUCUGUGUGGGCCAAAAAAGAAUCAGAGGGACAAAUGGAAACCAGGAAACAAAAGGUGUAAAUUUUAGAUGUUUUUUAAAUUAAUGUAUUUAACGACCUAUUAGACUCAUCACAAUUUUAUUGACUUUCCCUUUACAUUUGGAUAUAAUUUUUUACUAGCCAAUGCAAACUGCAAACUGGUGAGUCUCCUAAGGUGCCUUUCCUUUCCUGGGAUCCUCAUCUUAGAAUGAACAGAGGCACAUCGAUAAGAACUGGACCUUGAUUUCACAACCUCAUACAAAGCCAGGCAAUUCUUGAGCCAAACAAACAAAGGGGGGUGUAAGCGAUUUCAUUUAUUUUGAUAAUCCUCCUCUUGCACAGGAGCAUUUUGCUGUCUUUGUCAAAGUGAAUGACAACAAUUUGGCCAACUCUCUCUGAGCUGCACUCAACAGUGACAGGCAAAUUAUCAGAGGCCCUGCACUUCUUAUUAUCAGAGGAGAAGCCAUCAGGGGGACGCAUGGAGGAUACCUCUCCCUUGUCACUAUUUGUCAGUGGGACAAGGGCCACUGCUAUGGGUAGCUGACAGGCAAUGUUGAUUCAAAUCUGCUCAAGAUGCAGUGUUGCACAGCUAAGCAUCUUCUUGAUUACAAUCCGCCACACUUCUAACUGCGCUCAUUCGCACUGCCACGGAUACUUUGUCAACAGUCAAAUUACACCACGCUGAUAACAAUGCAUAAUGGUGUUCCUCCUCCAGUCCCCUGUCAGGAGAGGGGCUUCAUAAAAAUGUGAUGUUUUCUUCUCAACUGUAUCUAAAGGAAGUUUGUAGGACUAGGUCCCCAGUCAGGCGUUAAUUUUUAAAAUUAGUUUGUUAAUUUCAAAAAAAAAAAAAAAACCAAAGAAACAAGAAGAAGAAGCAGCAAAAUGAUGGCAUAUGAAAAGUCCUCACUGGAAAAAAAAAAAAAAAAAUCAGCAAAGAAUGAGGAAUGGAGAAUAUCUAUGGCCAAAGUUUUACUUAAACACUUUGUUCGGAGACAUUUUCAAGAGCACUAUUCUUGGUUAAAAACCAGAUUUUUUUUUUCUUUACUUCUGGACUAUAAACAUUGGAAGCCUCUCUUGAACAGACUGUAUUUAGAUUGUGCUAGAAGUUUGUUUAACUGCCAUAUUUGCCAGAAUCCUCAAAACAUCACAGGACACAGAAGACAAAUGACUUUGUGUGUGUGUUGGAGGGGAGAGGGGGUGCGUAAGGGGGUCAGGAUUGCAUAUUCCACAUAAAUGUUGAUUCACUUUUAACUAUUUUUUAUCCUAGUUGCUUGUUGCGGAUUGGUGUGUCUGAGGCAUCAGCACACAUGGGGAAUAUUUCUCACUGAAAAAUGAAAGAAAGAAAUGCAGUGAUUAGAAGAUGAUUUUACAUUCAGUCUUUUUAGGGAUUAUUCAGAUUUCUUAUUUUUCAAACACAAUCAAAACCAGAACAAAAACAAGGAAAUUAAACAAAAUUUUAAAUCUAUUCUCUUAUAGAUUCUUCAGGGAGUAGAGAAUAUUCACAGGGUUAACAUCCCAGCCUUCUCAGCAUGUAAGCAUAUUGUAAUCCUAUUUAUUCACUAAAAAUGUAAAUUCCUCUGAUCUACACUUUAUUUUCUUUAAUCUGCAGGUCGAAUACAGCUUCUUAUUCACUGAUGACUAACUCAAAAAUUUAAAACGAUAUUUUUAUGUUUGUAUUUCCGAAUAUUAAAAGUGUCUUCCUUCUCUUAUGGCCCCACCCCAGCAUGUUCUUAAGUGUCUAUUUCAAACAAAAGAAAAUGACAUCCCCCUUUCAACUAGCCAAACAUUAGAUUCUCUCAGAACUGACUGGGGAUUCACUAGAAGUUUCGCAAUUAGGUUCAUUCAAAUUGAAUUAUUUUCUUUUUUUCCAAACAUCGUUCUUAGAACUUUAUAAAUGUAGCAAUACUGGCUUCACAAUUUCAUGUGGCUCGUUUACAAAUAAAGGUAUUUUAAUAAAACCAAGUUCUGUGUACCUUUGAAAAACAAAAAGCUGGAACAAUCUCACAUUAAAACAUUACAAAAGGAUUGUAAAGGGAAAUUUAAAGGGAGAAAACUUGAUUAUAUAAUGCAAUCCAGCAGUAAUCAAUUUUACCUUCAAUAUCUUGCUUUUGUUUUCAAAAUGCUAAAUAAACAAUACAUAAUGCAUCCCUCAUCAGCCAAACCAUGGAGGCUCUGUGCUCAAAUAACAGGAAACAUAUUCAAUUUUCCUAACAGAAGACAGUUCAUUAAGCUGUGCCACAUCAAAUAAAACUUUAAUUUCUCCAGCAUCAGAGUCGCAAUGAAAGCAAUUGAAGAAGAUGAGCCAUAUGGUACUUCUAUCAGCAAACACAUAUUGCUCAUUCCCCCAAAGUUUUCUAAUUCUGCUCCCCAGACCUGUGUAAUAUAGAUAAUGUGCUCCGAGAGCAGCAACCAUGAGCUAUCUAGUGUACACUUCUAAUACUGUAUUUAAUGGGAAAUAAUGAAUCAUAAAAGCCUAGAGAAGACGGCUUUUGCUAACCUAAAUCUCAGCUGUAAUUUCAUUGUUCUGUGCCUAAGAUGCUGUUUGCCCUUUCCAAACAACAGCAGUUGAACAUAAUUAUGCUGCUUCGAACCUGGGCUUGAAAAAGCAUCCCUAAUAUAACCAACUUUCUAUUAACUCCUGAAUUUCUGAAUUUAAUGAUGCACUGAUACAGGCCUUGACAUAAUCAAGCAUGUGUCAUUUAAAAAUCCAAAUAAGCAUUUUUCCCCUUCUUCUCUUUGGUCAGACUGCUCAAUGCUUUUAUGCUUCCUCCUCCGCCCCCUGCUUGCGUCCAUCCCCCACCCCCCACCCCACCCCAUGCAACAGGAGUGGCAUGAUUAAAAAUGAGGAGAUUUUCUUGUUAUUAGCAAAUUUGACAUUUGCCUGAUGAAAUGCACAUAAAAUGUGAAAGCUACACAGUACUCAGAAGAAUGUCUCCACUCCAAUCCUAGCUACCAAGAUGAAAUAAUUUAGGUAAAGGAAAUGUAAAGGUCCUUGUACAUCUCUUGCUGCGGAAUGCUAGGGCUGUGUUAUAAAUGAAAGAACCAAAUAUUGCUGAGCUUUUAGAGUGAUAGUAUUUUGGCACAUGUGAAGCGCAUAGUGUUCCUUCUCUCACCUUAGCUGCUUUGACAAUUCACUUAAACACAAUACAUAUGCCCAAACACAGCAAUGUGUGUGUCGUGAGCCCAGCCUUUCUCUGGUUUAAGAUCUUGGGGCUGGGGCUUUGUUCAUUUUUAGGAAAAAAUGUUGCUUUUUCCUCUAACUAGGUCAAUAAUUCCAGCUUUUCCAUUUUUAAAGCUUAUCAAAUCAAUAUUUUACCAACAUGAUGCUAAUUUAGAACAUCAUCAAAUAACACCGUGGAUACAUAUUGAAAACAUAUUUUAAUGGUUUUGUUUGUUUUGGCAUCAUAUGAACCAAGAACAAUUAAAUUAAAAAGAGACUUUUAAAAGUUAGAGAUUGCCUUUUUAAAGCUUAUUAAAAUCAGCAUGUUAACAUGCCUGUCUCUGAAUUAGCUCUCACACUUGAUUGCCAUCAUUAAAACUAGUUGUUUGGGUGCUGCUCAAAGCCGAUUCUUACUAGUUAUUAACUUGAAAUCUCUUUCCAUUGAAAUGUGUAAAAAAAAAAAAAAAAAAUUCAUUCUCACUAGUGGAAGAAACAGUCACCAAAACAUGAACUAGCACAGCAAGCCAGCAACAUUAAACCACGAAAAGACCAACAGGUAAAAUAACUACAGUAACAUCUAAAACACACUCAGGAAAAAAAAAAAAUCACAACAACAACAAAGAAGCAGUCCAUUGAUUAUAUUUCAUGAAUGCCUUAAAACAAAUGUUUAAACAGUUUUCUGAAACAGUGCAGAGAACCUCUGCAUGCUCCACUGGGUUGCAAUGACAAUGGUCUAUUGCAAUGUAAAACACGCUGGAGGAUAAAAAGGUGCUUUUUGUUACCAUUUUAUCAAAGCUGUUCAUCUUCGAGCUGCAGGCAGCAUUUUGCUGGAAUUGCAGAUAUUUCUCUGUCCAGGCUCCUUUGUUUGUGCAUCUCAUUUGCAUAUAUUUAUCUCCAGCUGAGGGUGCGUUCUGCUCAUUAAGGCCUCCCUUCACAUUAUUUCAUAAGCCAGCUGCUGAGAGGGAUUUCACCUGUGGUGACUGAGAAAAGAGGGGUGAAAAACUAAAUUCUUCAUAAAAAGGAAAUCUUCUGAGUCUCUUCCCCUAUAAAUGGGCACCAUUUGUGUUAAACAGCCUCUUGUCAUGAUAGAUGCCUCCAGAGGUCAGGGGUUAAAGUUGAUUUGAAGGUCAGCAGUAAAACAACAGACAAACCAGACGCCAAACUGGUUCCUUAGCUGUCGGUGGGAGCUGUGGUACAACCAGGUCUUGAACCUUUUUCAACCUCUAAUAAAACAGGGGAUGAAUCUGAAGUGGAUCAACCAGGCCCCUGAGGAAGCAGCACAGAAAAACACAAAUAAUAUCAAUAUCAGGCAGCCACAGGGAAACAAUGGGGCAUUUCUCCGUGCUACAUGCAUGCUGCUAUUGUUUCAAGGGCUGGGGAAUUAAUUCCACUUAUUUAUUUAAGGCGUGUCAACUCACUGCCUAAACCUGUUUCAGUGUCAAGAUGAAUAAAACUUUUAUGGCUCAUAAAAUAGAGCCAUUCAUCUCAA